rnacentral:lncRNA from 10 species
GUGCUUUCUGGGGUCCUUCAGCAGCAGUGCAAUGAGGAGCAUGCACAGGAGAGAUUCUAUUUUCCUUGGAUGGCUUUCUUGAGCCUUGGAAAUCUGGCUCACCAGGAAUUCUAGGCUUCUGUUGUCCCUUGCUUCCUAUCUACCAAAAGCACAAUGAUGCCUUUCUUUUUACUCACAUUUGAUGACAUCCAUAGUGAGAAACAGCAGUUCCACUGUCCAACACCAGGAAAUGUUCUGACUGUUUCACCGCUCCAGCUAAUACUUACAGAGGUGUGGCCUAUUCCCACUUGUAUUGGGGGCUUUAGAAUCUGACUCCUUACAUUCCUAAGAUUAAAAGACAUCUUGUGCUGUUUUAUGUUCUGAGAAGGAUUGAUUACCACAAAGACAGAUCUAUAGAGAAUGUGAGUGGAAACUAUACGAGCUGCUAACGGGACAAGGCAUUUAAGAAUCAUCCGAGUUCUGCUCUUCUUGCUGGCUGGAGCUAAGAAUUCAAGAACAAACACCAGCAAAGAGAUUCAAUACAAAUAUCCAAUUUUGAGAUAAGGGAUGGAUAACCAUAGUGUGAGUUGAGCCACAGAAAUGUGGAUGAAUUCAAUAAAUAUUUGGAUGAUUGUUUAACAUUACUUCAUAAUUGAUGGGAAUAAAAAAGUAUAACAAAGAGAAGAAAUCAAGGCUGCAGCAUGACAAAAGGCAUGCCCUCAGAACUUUUAAUCUUUAUGAAACAUUUGAAGACCUCGAGAAAGGACAAUACCCUUGGUUCUAUACAGAUGCUGUCAUGAAUUCAUCUUAUAUCAGUUUCAUAAAUCUGAGAAAACAAACUAGAGAGAAGGCAACACAUAUUUCAUUUUAGCUGUGAGCAACUUCCAUUGUGAAUCAAGGAUUCAUUCAAAAUACAUCUGGUAUGAGGUUUUGCUUUUCACAGAAUGGCAACAUCUAACCUCAUCACACAGGUGAGGACAAAGCAAUUGUAUCUUUUAGAGAGGUACACAUUUUAAAACUUCAGAUGUGAGUUUUCAGAUGUAGGAAAAAAAGCUUUGUAAUUUCUCCUAUAAAAAAGCCACCACUCACCUAUAUCUUGGGUGUGCUACAUGAAGCACACCAAGGAAUAUGAAGUUCAACUCUGUGAUUAUGAUUUUCAAAUGUUAAAUAAAU